GCACAAUUGGCCCAGCAUCGUCUGGGUUUGGCUGGUGUAGUUCAAGCCCUUGAUGAUCGGUGCAUCUACUAGGAUCUGGGACCACUCAAUGUGGAGUCCAUCAUGAGAACUUUCCCUUCAUUAGUGGAGGAUUACAAUCACGGACUGGGCACCCGACUGCUGGAUGACCUGCUUUCCCGUUCCAUGUCGGUUGAGUCCUGGGGUUGCCUUUUAGCCCAACAUCCUGGAGGUAUACAAGGACCUGUGGGAGUUUGUUCCCAACCUGCGCCACUAGUCUCCCUCAUCGUCCCUGGGACUAUGCCAUUGACUUGCUUGCGGACUCUGCGCAGAUACAUCUAUACUGUCUGUGGCUAAGGCCAUGGAGGAAUACAUCCGUGAAGCGAUCCAACAAAGUUUCAUCCACACGUCCACCUCUCUUGCUAGUGUGGUGGCUCACCAAGUCCCGUUUACACUCCCGUUGGUGCCGGAAGCUAUCGAACAGCUCCACGGGGCCGCGUUCUUAUCAAAUUGGAUCUCUGCGGAGUGCAUACAAUCUCAUCCGGGAGAGGGAUGAAUGGAAGACGGCUUUCAGCAUGAUGUCUGGUCACUCUGAUGCCUUCUGGCUUAGCCAAUGCGCCGUCAGUGUUCCAGGCAUUUGCCAACGAGGUGUUACGGGACAUGCUCGGAUGCCAGGUGGCUGUCUAUAUCAACAACAUCCUCUUCUACUUGGCUACCUUGGAGGAUCACAUCGAGUAGUCCUGGAACAUCUCCUGGCCAACCAACUAUUGUUCAAGGCAGAGCAGUGACAAUUUCAUCAGGAACUGUCUCUUUUCUAGGCAACCAGAACCGCCCGCAAGGAGUGCCGUUGUCGCUGGAUAUCCAGGUUUUACUCGUAGUACACCAUCUCCAAGAAGUAUUGGUGGCCAACCUUGGUGAGGGAUGUUAUUUGCUAUUGUAACGGAUGUGAAACGGCUUAGCGGUGCGCGCUAAAUAGCGUUUCAAUCGGUGACAUCACUUGCUCUGAGACCUUGAAGUAGUAGUUCCCCUUGCUCUUCAAGGGCCGCGGCUUUUGUGGAGCGAUGGGUAACGAUGCUUCGAGGGUGACUGUUGUUGAUGUGUGCAGAGGGUCCCUGGUUCGCGCCUGGGUAUGGGCGAGGGGACGGUCUAAAGUUAUACUGUUACACUAUGUCAACUCCUGUUCCAUGUAGUGAUUUAUUACCGAUAUUUUCCUUGCCAAAAAAACAAUACCGAUUUUUAAAAUUGGGCUUUUUUUAAAGUGUUCUAGUAUAGUUAAAACAGAUGCAGCGGUCUAAGGCACUGCAUCUCAGUGCAUGAGGCAUCAGUCUCUACAGUCUCUUGUUUGAAUCCAGGCUGUAUCACAUCCCGCCGUGAUUGUGACUCCCAUAGGGCAACGCACAAUUGGCCCAGCAUCAUUCGGGCUAUCAUUGUAAGUAAGAAUUUGUUCUUAACUGAAUUGCCUAGUUAGAUAAAGGUUACACACACCACACUAACCAAUAAGUUAUUUUUCUGGCAUUUAUGUAUGUCCCCCUUGCAAGUAAAACAUAAUCAAAACCUA